GUCUACAGCCAACCCACCCAGAAUGCGCCUGAUCUUGUCUGAUCUCGGAAGCUAAGCAGGGUCGGACCUGGUUACUACUUGGAUGGGAAACCACCUAGGAAGACCAGGUGCUGUAGGCA
rnacentral:rRNA from 1 species